CUUUCUUUCUCCCUGAAAUAUCUAGAUCCGUUUUCAAAAUUCAAAUCUCACUCAUCAAAUUCUCCCCCCUCUCCCUCUCUCUUAAAUCUCCCAGAACCACUCUCUCGACCCUUUCUCUUGCGACGGCGACACAAUCAACUACCGGUGUAACUCUUGAAACAUGGUGCUUCGAUUGACGGGGUUGAAUCCCCCAAUCUCUUCGAACACGCUAACCCUAAUUUACUCAGGUAUCAUUUAUCAGUCUUUCUCUCCACCUUCCGUCCUUUAUUGACAAUAGCAAAAUCGACUCUCAAUGAACAACUUUGUGCAAACCAUCUGCUUCGCCGUUUAACAGUCAUUGUUUAUGAAGGACAGUUCAAUACUUUAAUCUCUCUUCCGGAUUUCUUGGUUCUAAAAGGUCAGUUGUAGGUGGUUAGUUUUUGUGACUUGCGUUAUUUUUGUUUAUCUAAACUCUCUUUCACGGCUUUAUUCCUUUGCCCUAAUUUUUGUAGUUACUAUAAUUUGCUUUUCCACGUGAUACUGAGCUUCGCUUGUAGAACGUAGGGUUUUGUUUAUAAAUUUAAAUCGUUAUCCAAUGAUUUUUCUGUUUUAUAUACCAUGUAUCCCCAUCUUUUCAUUGCAAUUUUCUUUAAUACUAAACAUAUGUUCUUUUUAUUCUAUUAUUGUAGCUCUUAGGUUAUUGAAUUGAUUUUCUUGAGGUACAAGGAAGUGUUUGUUUCUUAUAUUUAUGAUCCUUAUAGGCUCUUUGAUGUUGGAGUUUUUAUGCCUAUUGAUUUUAUUUGAACAAAGAUAAUUAAUUACAGUUACUUUGAAAGUCUUCAACCCAGCUUAGAAUUAUAAAUAUUCUUAAUUAUGCAGGUCUAUCACAACCUGGGUACAGACUUAUCAGGGGCGGCCCUGGAGGUGGGCGGGGAGGACCACCGGCCAGGGCCCGAGAUUCCGAAGGGCACGUUUUAAAAAAAAACUGAUAUAUGUUAUAAUUCUUUUUUAAGAGAAUACCAAUAUAAUAGAUGAAUGGCUUAGUGGUUAAGUUCCCCACUCCCAAACUUGAAGGCCCAAGUUCGAGUCAUGCUUCCAGUUAUAUUUUUAAAGGGUUUUUUUAAAUCUAAAAUAGAUGAUAUUGGUUUUGAUUGUGAAUUGAUUUUGGUGGAGAUAGGAAAUGUGUUUGCUACUUUCAUUUUUUCUUAUUGUAUCGUGUUUUUUAUUAUGUGAUAAACCUUAUUUGGCCCGAAUUGUUGAACAGACCCGAAACCCGAAACACAUGACCGUAGUAUUUCUGUUUGGUCUGAGUGAAUACUAUGAUUUCGUGAACAGGUAUAUAAGAAACUAGUUUACAUUUAUAUAUUAGAAACUAGUUUACAUUUAUAUAUUUCGUUAAAGCCGAAGGGCACAUUUUUUCGAGGUUGAACAAGGCACACAAAUUCUUAGGGCCGGCCCUGAGACUUAUGAAGUAAGUAGGGGCGGACCUAGCAUGUUACUAGGGGUAGCAGGCCGGUGGUAAUGUAAAUUUUGGAAAAGUUUGCUUUUAUUAUCAUCAAUUGAUAAGUUGAGCAUGGUUUCUUUAAGAGUAGAGUGGAACAAAGGACGCUGCUGCUGACCAAAUCGUGAGGAGUGUCACGCCGGAGCUUUAAAGCAUCGAUAAUUAUCCAAGCAACCUGUUUGAUGAAAUGCGUUUGUCAAUCGAUUCUUUAAUUUUUAUUUGGAUUAUAUUAUUUCUAAUUUCUUAUUUUAUUUGAUGAUGAACAGGGGCUCAAAAGAAAAGCAAUGAAAGACGGGUCACAUAUUUCUUCUCUAACAAUAAUAAGUUAAAGGUGGAAGAUUGCGGAUUGCCCUGAUGACUUGGUUUAAAAAAGCGGGAAGCGCACAAAAGCGACGAGGCAACAGGUUAAAGGAUUGGCAGAGAAGCUAAAGACGAAUCCCGAUAAGGGAAUUCAUGAAGACGAGGCAAACAUCUUAGAUAGGAAAAAUGUGUUUGGAUCAAACACAUACCCGCGGAAAAAGGGGUGAAGUUUUUGGAGGUUACUGUUGGAUGCUUGUCGCGAUACGACCUUGAUCAUCUUGAUCUUGAUGGUAGCGGCUGCUGCUUCUUUAGCUCUAGGAAUAAAAACAGAGUCGUAGAAGACUUUUAUAAAGUUUAUGGUGUUUUGAUGAUCAAUUAGACUGCUGGGCGGAAGGUGCAGCACAAACGCCACAGUUUGCUGAAGGCGAAUUUUAAGGCCGCAACUGCAGUUCGGGCAGAAGUUGCAGUGUAUGACUAGCUUUUUGUCGACACAGUUACCUGCAGAAGUUGCAAGUUCAUUGAGAAGCAAAGUAGUGCUUUUUGUUUUAUCUUUUUAUGCAAGUUUAGUUGUGGCUUUUUUUCCUAUAUCAUUCUAUCCAUGAUAUCAUCAUCAUUUAGAUUAAUAAAAGAGAGCCAAGUUUGGUUUUGAAUGAUUUC